GAUUGGACUAGUUGCCAUUUUUGAGGACAGUCCAACCCCAUGUGUAUAAACCUGUGGAUAACGUUCAGAAGACAGUUUUGUGCAAUUUAGAAUAGGGAGAAUACAUUUGCUGAAAAUCAGACCUUGCAACCAGCAGGGCUUAUAAAGGUAGCAUAGCAGUUUACGUGCUUAGAAAAUUAUACUUGAGUGUGACUCAGUAAAUUGAGCUGCCUGGGUGUGGUGGCUCAUGCCUUUAAGUUUAGCAUCCAGAGGCAGAGGCAGGUAGGUCUCUUGAGUUCAAGGUUAGUUUGGUCUACAAAAUGAGUUCUAGGCCAGCCAGACAAAAAGAUUGUGUCUCAUAAGAAAAAAGGAAAGGACA
rnacentral:lncRNA from 1 species